rnacentral:rRNA from 1 species
AUGACGAAAUGCCAGAACCUCACUUUGAAGGCGGCUGUCGGCUCUGUUGCACCUCCUCAAGCUGACGGAACUUUUCACUGUCGUUCGAUUCCACAUGGCUAUGCUGUUUUGACGGUGGAUGAAAUAAUGGAGGGAUUUGAGGAGCCGGAGCUUGAUCACCCUACAGGCGAAGGGGAGAAUCAUCUGGUUUAUGCUUUGAGGAGUACCUAUCUAUGGAGGAAGGAGUACAUCAAGAUUCCAAACUGGACGCCUCCUCCUCCGGCGAGUCAGGGCACUACGGCUCCUCCGCCUCCUCCGACGUGUGAGGGCACUCCGGCUCCUCCUCCGCCUCCUCCGAUGUGUGAGGGCACGCCGGCUCCUCCUCCGCCUCCUCCGGCAUGUCAGCGGACUCCGCCGCGUCAGCAACGGGGGAAGAGAAACGCCGCCGCUCCGGCGGCUAGCAGUACAAGCAGAGGCGGGAAGCAAUUCAAAUACAGUCCAUGUCUCAAGGCUCCGGAAAAGUUACCAUAUGAGAGGACCGACAAGGAAAACAAGGACAUCUGUCGUGCCCAAGUGAGGGACCAUUUUGCAUGGAAACCUCCACCUCCGAAGGAAACGUUAGAUUAG